rnacentral:rRNA from 1 species
AUGGUGACCGCGAGCUUCAGCCGGAGCACGUCGGCGCGGCUCACAGCGAGGGGCGGCGUAGGGAGCCCCCGUGUCUCGUCCGCGGCGGCCGCGCACCGCAAGUGGUGGGGGACACCGUCUGGCCCGUCUUUCGAGAGCACCGUCGCCCUGGCCCUUUGCCUGGCCUCCGCCGCGCUCGUGCUCUCCUGCGGCCUGUACCUCUAUGUUUCCCGGUACCUGGGCCAGGGCCAGGGCCGCGCGGUGGCCGAGUUCGCCGGCGACAGUCUGGACUCCUGCAACGUGUUCGACGGCAGCUGGGUGCGGGACGAGAGGUACCCCCUGUACAACAGCUCGGAGUGCCCGUUUGCGGAGAGGGGGUUCAACUGCCUCGCCAACGGGAGGAGGAACACCGAGUACCUCAAGUGGCGGUGGAAGCCGCGGCGGUGCGACAUGCCGCGGUUCAGUGCCCGGAGCGUGCUGGAGUGGCUGAGGGGGAAGAGGGUCGUGUUUGUGGGGGAUUCAAUGAGCCGAACGCAGUGGGAGUCCUUCAUCUGCAUGCUCAUGACAGGGGUGGACGAUCCCAAGAAGGUUUAUGAGGUGAAUGGCAGCCAGAUCUCGAAGACGAUCCGAUUUUUAGGAGUGAGAUUUGAGUCAUUCGACCUCAGUGUGGAGUUCUUUCGAUCGGUGUUCCUUGUGCAGCAGACCCCUGCUCCUCCUCUACAUGUCACAAAAAGGGUCCGCGCAAUUCUCAAGCUCGAUAAGAUGGAUGAUCUUAGCAGGAAAUGGGCGAAUGCCGACAUGCUUAUUUUCAAUUCAGGGCAUUGGUGGACUCCCAGCAAAUUAUUUGACAUGGGUUGUUAUUUUGAGGCUGGAGGCUUGCUUAAACUGGGAACAUCAGUUAAUUCUGCUUUCAAAAUGGCACUGGAAACAUGGGCUUCAUGGGUCAAGGAAAAAGUGGAUUUAAAACGAACACGUGUCUUCUUCCGGACAUAUGAGCCAUCUCAUUGGAGUGGCUUGAACCAAAAGGUAUGCGAAGUAACAGAAAGACCUACAACCGAGGCCAUAGGAGCUGAUAGGAGUGAAUUUAGGGAUAUACUUGCUGAUGUUGUUGCGAACAUGAGCGUUCCUGUCACUAUACUGAAUGUGACUUUGAUGGGGGCCUUCAGGAGUGAUGCGCAUAUUGGUAUUUGGAGUCAUCCUUCUACCAUACUUGAUUGCAGCCACUGGUGUCUUCCCGGAGUUCCAGAUGCUUGGAAUGAGCUAAUAUUUUCUCACCUUUUGACGGACGGUUGGCGAAAGCUGGCUGGCUGA